AUAAAAGUGACCAAAAAGGUCUUAGGAGUUGUAGAAUAGUCAAGGGGGAUUACUGUAAAUGAAAUUACAUUUAUGUCUCCAGUGUUAGUAGCUGUUACACUCACACAAUUCAUCUUUAUUAUAUUAAGAGUCAAAGGAGCUACAAGACACAGUAGAUUAUAUCCCUGGAAUCAGGAUACCAGGUCCAGAAAGGUCACCCACUGAAAAUUAAGCCAGAAAUAAAAAGAAGUUAUAUCACAUGUGCUGAACAUUCACAUUUAUUAGUUAUAUUAUCCCAGGAAAGGUUUUUUUUUCCCAAUCCCCUUUUUAUAAAUGAAGAAACUUAGUGUCACAGAAGUUAAUUAAGUUAGUGAGGGAUACAAGGCUAGUAAGUAAUAGGGCUGGGAUUCAAAUAGAUCUGCUCAAAUCUAAAUUCCAUGCUAAUUACAUGGGUUGUGAAAGUUUAGUCAUCAGGAUAAGUAACGAAAGUUAAAGGCUGAUUUGUACAUAUUUAGAUGAUGAGACUAAAAUAAUUCACAUGUGUUGAUCUUGAAAAUAAGACACAUCCUUAGAAAAAAAUGGGACUGGAAUGGAAAUGAGAUAUUUUAAAAAGCUACAAUAGAAAUAGAUUGUGACUUUUUUGAGGUAGCAUAAUAAAGAAGAACCUUAAAAGAGAGACUGGGAGAAACAGCACUAUUUAGGAUAGAGCUAGUAUUUCUGAUUCUACUGAUUGGAACUACUUACAGAAAUUAUUUAACGCUAAUAUCAAAUGUAUGGGGCCUAAGAAGAAAGUAAUAAUUUCUGAGUGACUAGAAGCAAGGGAUAGUAAGUCUGCAUAUAGAUGUAUGUCAAGGAUCAACGAUAUCUUGAUUUGUCACUGGUGAAAUUGAAGGUGAAGGAACAGAUAAUGUUCUUGUGCGUCCCUUGUCUACACAGAGACUUUCAAAUGGUGCCAAUCAACAAUGAAAGUUUGUUAAAUGAAUGCAAAUAGAUUUCUAAUCGUUAUUUAAAUUCAUAUUUAACAUAUGGAUUUUAUAUAGUCCUCAAGAAGUAGCACUAAUGUCUAUGUUGGGAAAAACUUGGACUUUAUGUUAUUAUUACAUCUUAUACAAGCUCUGCUUUCAAAGAUUCAUACAUAGUAAUCAUGGAUUCUCAACUGGCAAUUUCUUCAAAAACCAGGGUCAUAAAAUAAAAAUGUUCUUCAUUGAAAAGUGCUUUAUUUGAUUUUUCAGCUUUUUCUAAUGACUGAUUUAUAUUUAGAGCACUUCUGAUUGAUUACGCAAAAAGCAAUGGGAUGUCUGAAAAUAUUCCUUUUAAGUCAGUUCAGGAUAGUUAUAUGACCAUAGCAUCAAUGUUGUGGUAACAGAGUCAUUUUCAUCUAAUUGCUUAAAGCUGUAUUUCCACUGUGUCAAAUGUUAAAAUAUUUCACUAUGUGAAAUGUAAAAAAAAGUUUCAUAAUCUAACUGUCAUUAAAUAGAAACCACACAUGUUCAUAUAUUUAAGUAACACAUAAAAUUGUACCCUAUUGCAUGGUUGAAAGUGCUAUAUUUUGAUAAAGAAAAUAUAGUAUUAAAUAUGUUUAUUUAGAAUAGAAAAGUACACUAAGUUAAAUUUUUAGCCUAAAGCCAAGCCUUUGCAGUAAAAGUGUUUCUCUAAUGCUGUACAACUGUCCUGUAAAAAGCACGAAAAUUAUUCAAAUUACUUACCAGCUUUGAAUAUAUAGCCACAUUUACAAAGUAAAAAAAAAAAGCCUUUUUUUCCUGUGAUAUUCAUAAAUCUCUGGGAUUCUAUAAAAACAGAAACGACUUCUUUGUUUACUCUUGUAAUAUAUUAAGUACUCCCUACUUGUAUAUAAGUAGUACUAUAUUAUCCAUGCCCUAAAACAUACUUGCUUUCUUUGAACUUUAUUUUGCUAUUAAUAAUUUAUUGUUUUUUGAAUCUUUAGUAUUUUAUAUCAAAAAUGCAUAUUCACUAUAAAUCUUCACAAAUGGGAAGAAAGCAGAAAAGAAAAUAGAAAAAUAAUCAACUAGAAUUGCAUUAUCUAGAUAUAACCAGUCUGAACAUUUAGUGAAUAUGAUUCUAGACAUCUUUCCAAACAAAAUACAUAAGACAUAGGGAAAGAUUAUAGGUUAUACUAUACAUAUUAUUUAAGCUGUAUUAAUAAACCAAUGUAAUUUCACAGAAACUUAAUAGAAGACACAAACAUUGAAGUAAAAUUAGAUAUUCAUUCACACAUAUUUGGGAUAUAGAUUUAUGCUCACUGUGAGGCCAAGGAAACCCGAAUAGAGAAAUGUAGUUAACCACAUUUAGUAGAAAGAAACCUUACUGAAUUUAAUUCAGUUACAUCAUACAAGCAAUUACUCAGACUCGCAUAGGUACUUCCAAGUUCUUCAGUAUGCAAUGACUGGAAGCAAAAUAUACCCUUUGUAGGCAUUACUCAAAUAUUUAUUUUUAUAUUUGGUAGUAGCAAGGUUAUUAAUUGGAAAGGUUAGGGUAGCAUUUCCAGAGAGUAGAAAAGCAUGUAGCAGUGAUGUCUAGAAUAUCAAGGAUUCCUUUUACAUUCUUCCUUUGGGGUUUCAGGGUGACUUUCACUGGGAACAUAGAAAGACAUUGGCAUUAGUGGGAUUGGUUUAUGAUUUCUGGGCAUUAGCCUACAAAAAGUAAAACAUAAAAUUGUACCCUAGUGCAUGAUUGAAAGUGCAAUAUUUUGGUAAGGAAAAUAUAGUAGUAAACAUUCCUAUUUAGAAUACAAAAGUAUACUAAGUUAAAUUUUUAACCUAAAGCCAAGCCUUUGCAGUAAAAGUGUUUCUCUAAUGCUGUACAACUGUCCUGUAAAAAGCAUGAAAAUUAUUCAAAUUACCUACCAGCUUUGAAUAUAUAGCCACAUUUACAAAGUUAAAAAAAAAAGUCUUUUCUCCUACUAUAUUCUCCUGUGAUAAAAAUUGCUUUGGUUUCUUGCUAGAGCAUAAGCCUUACCUAAAGCCAUCCACAGAUUAUGGUAUCAUCCAUUUUCCUGUAAGAAAAGGGAUUAGGACAGCAGAAAAUCAGGAAAAAAGAAAGUAAAAUAAGGCUUUCACCAUGGCAGAUAAGUCUUGGCCUUACAAACAGAUCUUGGGAAAGCUUUCCAAGUCUAGAGUGUCAUCUGCUUCUGGGGACAAACUUUCCUAGUCAGCUUUACCUCAAGUUCUCCAACAGGUGUGCAGUUCCAAAAGUCUGGAGGGGCCCUUUUGAUUGAUGAGAUGUUGGACCCAAGAUUUGAGGCCCUGAAAUUUUACUGCAGUGUGUGUGAUGAGAACUUGGUAUUUUCCCUUCCAUUGAGUUUCAAGGGCACUCUUUCUUUGAUGUUGUUUCCAGAAGAUCCAAUCUACAGGUUCCAGAUUGUGAAGAGUGUUAUUUUCCUCAAUUGUUGAAAAACAGAAAGUGUCCUUUACCUGCUGAAAAUACACUUGGGCAUAACGCAUUAAAACCUUGCAGUAUUUAGUCAUAUCACAGUUUCAGAGAGUAGGAGAUAAAUGAGAUUCUAUUAAUAGAAGCAUAGGCCUUCCAGUAAUAAUUUCAUGAGGGGGCCAAUCUAUAUUUCCCAGUGGGAGUGGACCUGAUUGGCAUUAAAGCCAGUGGUAAUGUUUUUGGCCAAGGCAAUACAAUCAAUUCAACUAGCUUUGCCAAUUUUAGUUUCAAAAUAUCACGUGUCCUUUUGAUCUUUCCAGAAGACUGAGGUUGAUAGGGGCAAUGGUAGUGCCAUUAUAGCUAUAACAACUUUUUAUUUUACUUAUUAUUAUUUUGAGACACAGUCUCAUUCUGUCGCUCAGGCUGGAGAGCAGUGGUGCAGUUAGACAGCCAGGUGUGAGGGGGUCCCUGGAGAAACUCCAACCAGCCUGCCCACUGAGAUGGAGUCUUGGGAACAUGGAGGAGCCUGGCCCCUCCUCAUCUUGUGUGGAAACUGGGAUUCACAGCUUCCAGGAACUGCAGAUACUACAUCCCAAAGUUUUGCCUAGUGGCCUCAUCGUUAUAUGGGCUCACUAGAAAUGUAGUGUCAGAGACUUUAUUGUGGGAAGAGAGUCAUGAGCAGUGGGAGGGAUGUGCUCUAGUAGGAACUCUGGCCUUCUGAGAGUCCCUGUUUCCCCCUUUGCUUCUUUUUCACCCAAUAAAACCCUGCUUCACUCACCCUCCAAACUGCCUGCAAGCCUAAAUUUUCAUGGCUGUGGGAUGGACAAGGACCCCCCAUCUUUAGCUGAACUAAGGAAAAAUCCUACAACGGCUCCACUGGAUGGAGUCUCUCUGAGUCCACUGUGGCUCAGGAGGCUGUCUGAUUUGCUAAUUUUUCUGUCCUCAAUCAAACUUUGUUAAAGUUAAUUUGUCUAAGGUUUUUCUUUUAACAGAUGGUGUCAGAGGUGGAAUCCAAAAUAGAGCUUCCAGCAAGCCCCAGGAGCACUGAGGGACCAAGCACGGGACCUGCUGGGCCCUGGUGUCCACUGUUCUCUCACAGCAACUGCAGGUCGUGGUAAGUUCUCGCUCAGAUUCCAAAUCUCUACACUUUUGAGUUUCGAGCUCUCUGGGUUUGUUUGAGCAAGUUCCUGAUUAAAACUGGAUUUGGAAGUCACUACCGAGACUGAAAUAGGGGCAGGAUCAGAUUGGGUUUGAUAAUUAAUUGGCUUGGAUCCAGUUAGCAGCCUCAGAUGUCUGACUGGAUCAGACAGAACCUGUAGUAUAUGGCAACAUUGCAGGGUUGUAAGUUUUGGUUUCAGAAAUUUGCAGAGAUGUUUUUGUUCUACCCCAUUUGUUUAUUUUUUUCUUGUAUGCUUGGGUAGGGAAGAAUCAUUGGCUAAGGUGAUCAAGAAAAUCUGAGGCAAAGCCAAAGUUCAAGAUAAAAAUAGGUUCCUUUCUUAAGAAUCCACCUUCCAGUUAUGCCUACAUUUACAUGUGUAAGUAUCAGGUCCCAGAAGCAGCAAACACUUACAGAAAUAGCAAAAUCUUACUAAAAGUAACUUAAAAUUACAAUGGAACAAUCCAAACGAACACUACUGCACUGAAAGAAGUGCAUUUGAAAAUGAGGGUUCCUGAAUUAGUCUCCUCUAGGGUUGUCUAUUGAUAUGCAAAAGAUUCUAAAGAGAUUUCAAUAUUUUUAUUGUUUUUAAAAUAAUUUUUAUAAAAAGCAAAUAAAAAGCUUAAGUGCCUAGCUGAGAAGAAAAAUUAAAUCUGCUAAUCUUCUGGCUUAGUUACUAUCCUGCCCCAAAGGUGAAAAGAAAGCUAUCCUAGAUCAAGUGUUUAUAAAAGGUAGGACCUCAGGUAGAGUGGGCUUGCUUACUUUUCAGAUCUACCCAUGCUGAGUCCAUACAUUAAAAAAUACUUUCUUGGCCGGGCGCGGUGGCUCACGCCUGUAAUCUUAGCACUUUGGGAGGCUGAGGCGGGCAGAUCACGAGGUCGGGAGAUCGAGACCAUCCUGGCUAACACUGUGAAACCCUGUCUCUACUAAAAAUACAAAAAAUUAGCCGGGCGCGGUGGCGGGCGCCUGUAGUCCCAGCUACUCCGGAGGCUGAGGCAGGAGAAUGGUGUGAACCUGGGAGGCGGAGCUUGCAGUGAGCCGAGAUGGCGCCACUGUACUCCAGCCUGGGCAACACAGCAAGACACCGUCUCAAAAAGAAAACAAACAAACAAACAAAAAAAACUUUAUUUGUCCUAUUUCUUAAUGGGAUCCUCUCUGAACCCGGUCAUUUUAGCUAAGAAACAGCAGCUAAGUUAAAUGCCUUUUAAAAAAUAUGUCUUUCUAGAAUUUAACUGGCUAUUUUGAAACGCUUUUGUAAAAGAACUUUACAUCUAUAAGAAGAUCUCCAUGUGUAAGGUGUCUACCUGUAAACGUUAGAAACUCUUAUUGUUGUUUUAAAUUACACAAGUCAUGCCUUUGUUUAAGGUGCUUUUCUGGCUGUCUUGUCUUUACUGAACUUUUACUUAUACCAUUUUUUCCUUGGUUUGAGCAAUACUUAGGGCUAAAAUCUUAGCUCUGUGCUUAAAAAAUAUACUUUUCUUUUUGUUUCACCUAACAGUUGUUCCUUUAGAAGUGCAAAAUUGUUACCUGGUUAACAAUUGCUUAGGGCUAUGAAACAGGAAAUUGGAAGAUUGAUAAUCUAAAUGGGGAAUAGAAUAACUAUUUAAAAGCCUGCAAAUAAACCUUCAUGAAAGCUAUAACAUCUGUUUCUCUCUGUGUGUUUGUAUGUCUGCAAGUGGUUUGUAUAUGUGAUAAUACUUGGUAAAUAUAGCAGAUUUUAAAUUGUUGGUAAAAUAGGAGUGGCUUCAAAAUUAUCUGUUAAAUAUAAUUAGAAACUUGCUUGUUUUGACUGUGAGCUAUGUUUUUGGCUUUUAGCCUCUGGAUUUAGGGGUCUGGAUAGGUGGCCAUGGUGAGGCCUGGAGACAUGAUCUCAGUGUCUAGACCAGCAGUUACAAAAUCAAGCCCAUUAUGGCCCUUCUUCCCUGCCCCAGCUUUGCCUCCUGGUUACUCUGAGAGGAGUUAGAUCCUCCAGGCAUCUUCACAGCUCUGUGUUCUGCCCUGAGCUCUACACCGGGCAUAUAAAUCCAGGACUGAGUCAGGCUCUGCCCGGCAUAGCCAUCCUGGGUGCCACCUGGUUACUUGAGACCCAGGAUAACUAGGAAGACAUUAGGGAGGGUACCCGUGUAAUAGUUUCAAAAUUCUUUUCAAUGAUUUUAAAAUCUUAAGAUAUGUUCAACUAAAUGACAUAUAAUGAUGAAAGCUCUAGUCAUUUGUAAAUUAAAAUACUAAAACAUUAAUAAUUAAACAUAAGUUUAAGUUUAUAUACUUUACCAUCUUAUUUUUAUAUAGUAUAGAAAAGUUAAAUGUAUUUAGAUCUGUUAAUAAACAAUAAUUUGAGGAAAAUAUCUUUCUAAAAUAUUAAAAGUGGUUUUUAUCUAUCAAUACUGAUAUAAAAUAGUUCAAAAUUGCUUUCUACGGAUUUCACUAAAAAUUAGGUUUACUAAGAGUUAAAGUUAAUACAUGCAAUUAAAACUACUAGAUGUGAGAAGACAAUUCUGUAUAGAAAGUGCAUAAACAAAAUCAAGCUAUGCUUUUGAUUAGGGAAGUUAUAAAGGCAUAAAAAUGUGUUGUUAAAAAAUGUUGUCUAGUUCAUGUUACUUAAAGUUUGUUUCAAAUUGAAAAAAAGUUUAAAAGGAUGCAGGUAAACUAAAAUAUGAAAAGUUGAAAAAUGUUAAGAGAUUAUAAACGAUUUAUGGAAAUCUAGUGUGGUCAAAAGCUGACUGAGGCUGAAAGAGUUUGUCUAUAAGGUUUUAUUAAAAUUAGCUUUAUUGAUAUUACACUAAUAUAAAAGUAAAAUGUAUUUUUCUUUUUUGAACAAAAAUUCUAUGUAAUAUUAAUAAGUGACGUUUUAUUUUUUGCAAUUUCCUCGAAAGGUAAGAAAAAUAAACUUAGUGAACUGCAAAAAAUAAAAAAGAGAAGAGAGAAAGAGAGAUAGAUUCUGUCUCAUGAAGUCUUUGUCGGAUCUUUUGAUUGUUUGGAAAACUCAGUCUCCUCUAUCAAAUAGUAAACAUGUUUGUUU
rnacentral:lncRNA from 1 species